CUGUGGUGUUGCAGAGGCUGGUCUGGAACCAGACACACUGGUGGGUGUGUUGGGUCUCUGAGCAGCGCUAAGGAAUUUCGCUGGGCAGAGUCUUUACACAGAUCCCAGAAAUAGUUCAAGUCAUAAGAAUAUGCCCAGCAUCACAGAGCUGCACACUUCAGCAGUCCUGCCUGGGGAAGCGGUGACCACGGGAUUCAGGAUUUGAGCUGCCAGGCAGAAGUCCCACUCCUCAGCCUCUACGUGCCUCUUUAUUUUUGUGUGCUGCUGCCACUUGUGCCCUCUCACAGCAUCCAAAAAAUUUCCUAUUAUUUCUCCUCGGCAUUUAUUCUUUUCCAAUACUGGCAGAUGGUCAUACGCCACUUUCUACCCCUCUGUUUUCUCCUCCUAUACGUCUCUGCUUGUUGGCACAACUUCUCCAUCAUGUCUUGGAAACUUUCAGUGUUUAACUUUUGCAGCAUGUCACCUGGUUUUGUCCCUUCCGAGCCAUAAAAGGAAAUGACUGCAUGGAGGGGCAGAGCUACGUUUAUCUUUCCAGAGUUUAUCAUGGUUUGGUGGAUGCAGUGAAAAAACUCUCUGUGUGGAGGAGGGCUGUCUUUCAACACAUCCAUUUGCCAGGAAAAGGAAUAUGGCAGUUGGGCUUCUGAAAAGAAAAAAAAAGAAAAAAAAAAAAAGAAAAAAAGAUUAAAAAAAAGGAAAAAAAAAGAAAAAAGAGGAGGAGGAAAAGACACUAAUUAGCUGUGCAAGUCAGCUCUGAAAGAAUAAAUAAAGAAAUAAAGAAGUUAACA
rnacentral:lncRNA from 1 species